rnacentral:lncRNA from 7 species
ACAGACACUCAGCUUGUGAAACCUGGGGGAAACAGGAGCCCAUGAACGAAUCACACUGACUGAUAUAAGCAAGGUCAGACCUUUGCUGGUUAUCUCACACUGUUGGAGAAUAUCAUGCCUGGAAGGACAGAGUGCUCUGCCAGUGCAGAUGUGCGUGCCAUUUUCAGAGCCUGAAGACCUACCUUCAAGAGGCCCUGGCACUCCUGAAACCCAAGUCUGGCAGAGAGGAAGCCUCGAUACAGCUCUCCUGGUUGCCAAGAACUGCUCUGAUUCCCUGGCAGAGGGAAAUCGUGGCUCUCCAGACAUCAGAGCUCUGAGUGAGGGCUUCAGCAUCACACAGAAGACAGCAAAGCCCUGCUCGCCUCCAGGGGGUUGUGAUGUAUUCUGGUGUUACCUGCUGGAAGAAUGCAAGACAUGCUUUGCUGCAAACUUCAACCUACAGCAUGCAAUAUCUGUACUGGUGCAGACCUACUGGAUCUAUUUAACUGGAACAUACAUGCCAAGGAAAGUGGGAGAGCUGAGAGCACAUCUCACCAGCAGGCCACGUGCUGACAGAUGGCGUACAGACCUCAGCAGAUGUCCAUAGCACCGGCUUGGAUCUCUUGUGAAAGCACCUCCAGUUGCACGAGGACUGGUGGUGAGUUCAAGUGCAAGCCGGAGCACACCAGAAAGGGCACCAGGCUGCGGCUGUUCCAAUGCUCCCAACAAGAAGCACCACCUCCCUUUGACAGCCACUAGAACCAUGCACAGAGCUACAAGGACCGCACACUCGUUUUUGCACCGAUGAAGCGUUCGGCAAAAACCUCCUCAAGUAACACUUCCUCUAGAUGUAAGCAUCUCUGAAGUACAAAGUCAUUCCCUCAGCCAUCACUGAAGAGCAGAUGGACAGAAAAAAGCACGUGCAAUAGAGAUGGUGACUGCUAAGGGGUCCGGAUCACGGCCGUGGUGCUGACAGACGAGAGGGGACAAGAAGAUGAUUCCACCUCUGAGCUCAACACCGGAGAGCUACGUCACGUCCCGCCCCGCACAGCCCCGUCAGACCAAGCCUCUGCCCUCUGAGCAGCGUGAUGUACUCGGGCACCACAAGGAGGUUGCAUCAUUACGUGCUGAAGCAAUGUGGAAAGCAACAGCCCCAGAAGCGAGCAGCAGCUUCUCUCCCCACGCGCCCUCCCGAGUCUCGUAUGGGGGUGUGUCAGCAGAUGAAUCAGGCCUACUUACAAAGAAUUACAGCAAACAAUGGCUUCAUGGGUAAAGCGUAACACAAAGCUGCUUCGUCAAACUGACUCCAUAAUGCCCAGCCAGGGAAAUGUUUAAUGAAUCUGUGAGUUUUACAGCAGUAAGUUCUGGCAAUGCUGAAGAUCGCUGUAAGGCACGGGGUGCAGGAGCCAGGGAAGUCUUUUCUGGCAAGUUACCUGUUGCUCUGAGAGCUGAAAUAGCCUGUGGGACAUUUAAGAAAAGGGAGCUCUUGCCUUUUUCCAGAUAUCUCAUUUGGGUUGCAAGACAAAAAAGACAGAAAGGCCCAAUAAGAAUGACACCCCAGAGUGCGCGGUCUGCAAUUUAACACACACAUUUGAGCUCCAAACACAUUCAGCCCCUGCAAGAGGGAAAUGAAAAAAGAAAUUACUUUGGAAACGUCUCUCUUAGGUACCGCAUAGCACCUGCACAGCUGUAUAGCAGAGUGCUGCAUAGCCCAGUGUAUUUUCUCUUAAACUUGAGCAAAUGGGACUUAUCAAUUCCUUAUAACGUUCCACCAUUCUCGAUAUUAUCAAGAAGAAAUCAGGCACUUAAAUGCAAUUGCAUGUGUUAAAAGAACAGAAUAAAAUAAACUAGAAGUCCUGGCU